ensembl:lncRNA
CGCUCUUGAUGCACAGCUCCCACAGUCCGACUCAGCGCUGUCUGUCCCUCUGUCAACAACACUGCAACCUGAGACGGGAUAGCCACCAGUCGGCUAGCUCAUUAAACCAGCUAACUUAGCUACCUCGCUAGCGAAAACAUUAAUAAAAGAGUUUUUAUGUGGAAAUAUUUCCUUUGAAUUUGGGGCACUGGCCGUGAGUCGCUUCGGGUGGACUGGAGAUGUCUUUCCCGUUUGGUUUCUUCAGCCUCUUCACUCUUAUGAUAUGACACCCCUGAUCAAAUCCAACAGAAAUCAGAGCUCCUCCUCAGACAGCUAACAGGUUCUAGCUGGUAUACAUAUGGCUGCUGAGGUGGAAGUCCAGUCUGGAGAGGUGGGGAGGUCUGGGGGGCGCCUGCACCUUAGUCCACUCAUGGACUCAAAUAAUAAAAACUGCCUGGAUCUGUCCACCAUGAACCAGUCUCAAUUCAUCAGUCCUGAACCAAGCAAACCUGUCCCGGGCCCCAAGCCACGUCUGACCCCCAAACCCUUUGCUGUUGACAGAAAUCCCACAAUUAAACCCAUACUUGCCCCCAAACCGCAACCAAAGCCCCGUCCAGAAUCCACUAGUACACCUGGAUACAAACCAGAUCUACCUAGUACCCCAAAACCUCAAACACCAUCCACAACUAACCAACCUAAACCCACUAUGACCAAUUCCACCCGUCCCACUUCAACAACUUUCAAAACCUCCAAGUUAAAUACAGGGCAAACUACCAAGCCAGUUGCUCAACCUUUUAAAGCAGCGCCUCCUAUCGCUGGUGAUCCAAGUAAGCCAAUAUCCCCUUCUCCAAAACCUUUAGAUUUGACUUACUCGAGAAGCCUUAAAAGACCACCCUCCGCAGAGUGGUCUGGGUUGACGAAAAGGGAGGAGGGUGAUUUGGAGUCACCUAAUAAAGUUGGGACAUCAAUUACAAGGGCGAAAUCUAUGGGGUAUCUUUUACAAAUAGGACAAGAGGAAAACGAUAAGACCAAAUCUGAAACAUCUGUUUUGCUUAGACCCCAGCCCAGAGGCAUCAGGCAGAGACCGGUAUCAGCAAUUUUCCCAAUGAGUCCAACCAAAACUGAUUCACCAAAUUCUGCUUUCCCACGGACUGAAAGAAGACCUCUGUCAGCAGAUCUAACUUCCAAAUUUGAGUCUAUGGGUCUUUCUUUGCACCAUACAACCCCAAAAGAAAAUGAAAAUACUCCAGAUGAAAAUUUGCAAAAGAGAGAGCAAGAGAAAACAGUCAAGACAACACUUCAAAAUACAAAUGCUACAACCAUUAAAACAGACCAAUGCAAUGACAAUGUACAAGCAAAAGAUGCUGAGGAAACCCGUGGGGCUAGUAUCAAAUCAAGAAUUAGCCUUCUGCUUGAUUCGUCUUCCCAAGUGUCAUCUGCCACGGGACAAACUCUGGAUACUGAAGCUGAGCCUGCAGUAGGGGUCAAACAGCUCAUUAAGCAGCUCACUGUGGACCAAAUCACCCCAAAUCAGAGCCCUGUGUUAAAACCAGCCCUGAAACCACGCCCCCUGCCCCUUGACCUAACCAAAAGGGGGAAGAUUCAGCCAGGACACCUAGUGAUGAAAAGACAUUUGUGGAUUUAAAAGACUUCCCGGAUCAAAUGAAAACACCUAUGUCUGAGAGGCCUGACUUGAUGUUGUCUCCAAAGGAAAGCGAAGCCCUGACAGUUCGAGCUUCUGUGUUUGAAAAUGUCAUAGAAAAGCACAAUGUUUUGAUGGUGGAUGAAAAUAAAAAUGAUAAACCAAUACUUGAUAAAACCAAUGAAGAGGGAAAGCUUGUCACUGCCACCUACAAGGAGCCGAUAUCGCCGUCAGGGCCAGUUUGUAUAGUGCAUGCAUUUGACACUGUCCCAGCUGCAGAGGGGAGCACAGUGAUCAGUGAAAACAUCCCAUCUGCCCAAUGGGAGGACAAAGCCAUGACGCUACGUUUAAGGCGCUCAGAAGGGACAAAAACCACACCUGACAAAACAAGUCCAGAACCAAUUUCAACUGCCCCGAGAUAUCUACGAGUGGGGGCCCUGCCAAAAUGGACCUUAGAUGAUGACAUUGAUAUGGAGACAGGAAUGCCAAAAGAUAAACCAAGAGAUUUUGAGGUAGAGGAUCCAUCUGCUGCCGCUGCUAAACGCUUGAAGACACAACAGACAGAGGAACAAGCAAAACCAAGAGCGACCUAUUUUGCCUUGACUGGACAAAUGCAGGAAACACUCACAACCACAUCGGUCGCUGCAGAUAAUGUGUCUUUUUCUGACCCCUUUGCCCAGUUGAGUUCCCAAG